GACGAACGCUGGCGGCGUGCUUAACACAUGCAAGUCGUACGGUAAGGCCCUUUCGGGGGUACACGAGUGGCGAACGGGUGAGUAACACGUGAGUAACCUGCCCACAACUUUGGGAUAACGCUAGGAAACUGGUGCUAAUACUGGAUAUGUGCUCCUGCCGCAUGGUGGGGGUUGGAAAGCUCCGGCGGUUGUGGAUGGACUCGCGGCCUAUCAGCUUGUUGGUGGGGUAGUGGCCUACCAAGGCGGCGACGGGUAGCCGGCCUGAGAGGGUGACCGGCCACAUUGGGACUGAGAUACGGCCCAGACUCCUACGGGAGGCAGCAGGGGGGAAGAUUGCACAAUGGGCGCAAGCCUGAUGCAGCAACGCCGCGGGCGGGAGGACGGCCUUCGGGUUGUAAACCGCUUUCAGCAGGGACGAAGCUUUUUGUGACGGUACCUGCAGAAGAAGCACCGGCUAACUACGUG
rnacentral:rRNA from 1 species